rnacentral:lncRNA from 1 species
AUGAGACAGGAGCUGGUUGGUACUCAUCAGCCAAGCACUACGACAACUGUUGUUACCGCUGAGACUCACUGUCGUGUAACACAUGGUCAUUUGUGUUGUUUAGGCAUGAUUGGAAACUCCAGUCUGCUGGCUGCAGUCCUGACUGUUGCAUCAGUGGUGUCAAUAAGUCUGCUGUCGCUUCUGUGUCUACGCUGCAAACGGAAAUCCAAGAUCAUACAUGAGGAAACUCAGAUAUACGACCCUCAGACAUUCCAACGUGGGGGAAGUGUGUUUGCUGUGAUGCAAUCAAAAACAGUCACCAGAUCCAAUCACAUAACUUCAACCACAAUUGAAACAUAUGAGGAGGAAUUUUCACCAAGUCCCACUGAUGAGCAGUCAGAUUAUGAAAAUAUCACAGAUGCAGCUGAAAUAGAAACAAAUGCAGAACAUACAUAUGUAGACCCACUGCCUGCUCAACUGUAUGUAAAUGAAGAAACCCCAGAGAGAAUAACUGGUGAUGAACAGAAUACAGACGUCUAUGCCAAUAUUUUCACGUCACUGUCAAUAAAAGAAGAUGACGACGACUAUGAGAACUCAGAGUUCUGGGAACAGUGUGUACAGAAGCCAGAAAAAGAACAAGACGAGGAUGAUGAGCCAGAUUACGUGAAUGAGAAUGGGGAGUGCGCCUGACGAGGCCCAACAGAGAACAUCAGUGAACGGCCAGGACACUGUGGCAUCGGUUGUGCUGAACUGAAGUACCAACGGUUUAUUUCUGUUAUGUGUGAUGUGCAAAUGAUGUGGACAGCUGCGUGAAUAAAUACUGGUAGACCUUGAAUGUGUUGUAUCUA